rnacentral:rRNA from 1 species
GACGAACCGAGCGAACGUUGUUCGGAAUCACUGGGCUUAAAGGGCGCGUAGGCGGGUGCUCAAGUCCGUGGUGAAAUCCUCCGGCUCAACCGGAGAACUGCCUCGGAUACUGGGUGCCUCGAGGGUGGUAGGGGUAUGCGGAACUAUCGGUGGAGCGGUGAAAUGCGUAGAUAUCUGGAGGAACACCGGUGGCGAAGGCGGCAUCCUGGACCGGCAUUGACGCUGAGGCGCGAAAGCUAGGGGAGCAAACGGG